AGUGAACGCUGGCGGUAGGCCUAACACAUGCAAGUCGAACGGCAGCACAGUAAGAGCUUGCUCUUACGGGUGGCGAGUGGCGGACGGGUGAGGAAUACAUCGGAAUCUACUUUUUCGUGGGGGAUAACGUAGGGAAACUUACGCUAAUACCGCAUACGACCUACGGGUGAAAGCAGGGGAUCUUCGGACCUUGCGCGAUUGAAUGAGCCGAUGUCGGAUUAGCUAGUUGGCGGGGUAAAGGCCCACCAAGGCGACGAUCCGUUGCUGGUCUGAGAGGAUGAUCAGCCACCUGGGAACUGGGACACGGUCCAGACUCCUACGGGAGGCAGCAGUGGGGAAUAUUGGACAAUGGGCGCAAGCCUGAUCCAGCCAUACCGCGUGGGUGAAGAAGGCCUUCGGGUUGUAAAGCCCUUUUGUUGGGAAAGAAAAGCAGCAGGUUAAUACCCCGCUGUUCUGACGGUACCCAAAGAAUAAGCACCGGCUAACUUCGUG
rnacentral:rRNA from 1 species